rnacentral:tRNA from 1 species
GGGAAUGUGGCUUAGUGGUAGAGUGCUUGCCUAGCAUGCACAAAGCCCUGGGUUCAAUUCCCCAGCACCA